AGUAUAGGGGCGGAUGUAGCCAAGUGGAUCAAGGCAG
rnacentral:tRNA from 1 species